rnacentral:rRNA from 1 species
GAUGAACGCUGGCGGCGUGCCUAAUACAUGCAAGUCGAGCGAACGGACGAGAAGCUUGCUUUUCUGAUGUUAGCGGCGGACGGGUGAGUAACACGUGGAUAACCUACCUAUAAGACUGGGAUAACUUCGGGAAACCGGAGCUAAUACCGGAUAAUAUUUUGAACCGCAUGGUUCAAAAGUGAAAGACGGUCUUGCUGUCACUUAUAGAUGGAUCCGCGCUGCAUUAGCUAGUUGGUAAGGUAACGGCUUACCAAGGCAACGAUGCAUAGCCGACCUGAGAGGGUGAUCGGCCACACUGGAACUGAGACACGGUCCAGACUCCUACGGGAGGCAGCAGUAGGGAAUCUUCCGCCAUGGGCGAAAGCCUGACGGAGCAACGCCGCGUGAGUGAUGAAGGUCUUCGGAUCGUAAAACUCUGUUAUUAGGGAAGAACAUAUGUGUAAGUAACUGUGCACAUCUUGACGGUACCUAAUCAGAAAGCCACGGCUAACUACGUG